UAGAGUACUUCAGAGUUUGAUCCUGGCUCAGGAUAAACGCUGGCGGCGUGCAUAACACAUGCAAGUCGAACGAUGAAGUUUUUAUGAAUUCUUCGGAAUGAUUAAAAAUGGAUUAGUGGCGGACGGGUGAGUAACACGUGAGUAACCUGCCUUGUACAAGGGGAUAGCCGUUGGAAACGACGAAUAAUACCCUAUGACAUCAAAUAAUCGCAUGAUAAUUUGAUCAAAGAUUUAUCGGUAUAAGAUGGACUCGCGUCUGAUUAGCUAGUUGGUAGGGUAAAAGCCUACCAAGGCGACGAUCAGUAGCCGGCUUGAGAGAGUGUACGGCCACAUUGGGACUGAGACACGGCCCAG
rnacentral:rRNA from 1 species